rnacentral:rRNA from 1 species
UACGAAGGGGGCUAGCGUUGUUCGGAAUUACUGGGCGUAAAGGGCGCGCAGGCGGCUCUUCAAGUCAGAUGUGAAAGCCCCGGGCUCAACCUGGGAACUGCAUUUGAGACUGGAGAGCUUGAGUUCGGGAGAGGAUGGUGGAAUUCCCAGUGUAGAGGUGAAAUUCGUAGAUAUUGGGAAGAACACCGGUGGCGAAGGCGGCGAGCUGGUCCAUUACUGACGCUGAGGCGCGACAGCGUGGGGAGCAAACAGG